UUUAAGUGCAACAAUAAGUGCCCAAUUUUAAUCGUCCGUCUUGUUUGAAUUAUUUUUAUAAUUAGUAUUUUUAUUGUUAUAAAAUGGUAAAAUAUGAAUAAUACUUUAUGCGUUACUUAUGUUCUCAAAUUUGUUUUUUCAAAAAAAUUUUAAAUAAGAUAAACGGUCAAAGAUGGCACGGAAAAUCAUGGCUUUACUUAUA
rfam:Oryza meridionalis cultivar OR44 (W2112) chromosome 2, whole genome shotgun sequence.